rnacentral:lncRNA from 12 species
UUAGUUCUAAUCUGUAGCAGACAGUUACGGUAUUAGAACACUAUCAUUGCAAUCAUCUUGUUACAAGCUAAUGUACUAUGUACCUCGUUAAAGAAAUAUUAUAAAAUGUGAGCAUUCCUAUUUAUUCCAACAUAACAAACAGUCAACUCUUAGUACCCAAAGUGUUCCUGAACUAUUUGUAUUUUUGAGUAAUCUAUAACUCAAAGAAACAUCUUUAAGUUUUUCUAAAAGUUAUUUCAGUUUAAAAAGUUAAAUAAUUGUUUUUGCUUAAUUUCUUGCCAGCUAGGGAAAUAUAAAGAGAUGUUUAUUUAAAAGAUACUUAAUUAUGGUGUGUCAAUUAAACAAAGUUUGGAGAAGGAAGACACAUGCUACGACCAAAAUUUAAUGCAUAUCCUAGAAGUAUAUAAAUUCCUUCAACAUUUCACAAAGCAGCUGAUUUUUCUGUUUAAAUCUUUAGUACACGAAUCUUUAGCUUGAGAGAAUACAUUUGUAUAUUUUAAAUUGUAUUCUCAUAAAAGUUCUUUAAUCAUGCCUUCAGUUGAUAAACUGAAUACCACUAUGUCUUUAGAGAAUUAAUGUCAGCAAAUAGAAUCUGAGACCUCAAGCCAGGCAUUCUAAAGUUUUGUCACAAUGAGACUAUGUCAACAUAGUAGAUAGAAUUAUAAUGAUUCCCUUGGGGCUAACAGUAUGAAUUAAUUUUAAAAUGGAAAUUUGAAACAUUUAGAACUGGAAAGAUGGUUAUUAGUGAACUAGUCCAAACUCUGCAUUUUGAAAAAAAAAAUAUUUUAAAGGCUCCACAAAACAGGCCAGAUGGAGCAAUCAGAACAGAGAAAGAACACUGAACCUGAAGUCAGACAACCUGAGUUUCCUUCCAGCUUCUGCAUCUUAUGAUUCUAUUUGGCAGAAGUUCCCAGCUGACUAUCACUGCAGAGGUUUCCAAACACUAGAAAAUACUAUUAUUUCAACACACAAAGCAGUGGUCUAAUGCCCUCUGGGCAUCUUGGUUGUCCACCUCAGGAUAGUAAAGAAAAUACUGGUAUUUAUAAUAAAAUGUGACUAUUCCUGUUCCUCGGUCUCUUA